rnacentral:rRNA from 1 species
UACGAAGGACCCGAGCGUUAUCCGGAUUUAUUGGGUUUAAAGGGUGCGUAGGCGGACACGCAAGUCAGUGGUGAAAUCUCCCAGCUUAACUGGGAAACUGCCAUUGAAACUAUGUGUCUUGAGUACAUUUGAGGCGGGCGGAAUGUGUCAUGUAGAGGUGAAAUUCUUAGAUAUGACACAGAACACCAAUUGCGAAGGCAGCUCGCUGAACUGUAACUGACGCUGAGGCACGAAAGCGUGGGGAUCAAACAGG